rnacentral:rRNA from 1 species
UACGACGGGGUCUAGCGUUGCUCGGAAUCACUGGGCGUAAAGGGUGCGUAGGCGGGUCUUUAAGUCAGGGGUGAAAUCCUGGAGCUCAACUCCAGAACUGCCUUUGAUACUGGCGAUCUUGAGUCCGGGAGAGGUGAGUGGAACUGCGAGUGUAGAGGUGAAAUUCGUAGAUAUUCGCAAGAACACCAGUGGCGAAGGCGGCUCACUGGCCCGGUACUGACGCUGAGGUGCGAAAGCGUGGGGAGCAAACAGG